UCUCUGAAGGCUAGUCUGGCUUAAAACUACCAGUUUCAGCGGCUUGCAAUUUUCUCUUAUAUUUGGGUGGGGAAGAUUUUUCAGUUUUCCCUUAGAGACACUUUCCCUUGUGGGGCAUGAUAGUGUGUUCCUCGUUGCAGAAGGACCCCUGUAUGCAGAAGUAGAGGCGCUGGCCUCAGGCUCCUCCACUUCCUCUUGGACAGAAGACGCUGAGCAUUUUUUCAGGAAGUGGUCACCCCAGUGGUCCCCGGCUUUCUCAGACUUCCUGCAGCUCUCUACACAGUGAAUCACAGUGAGACACUGGCAGCAGGCACCACGGAAGGGACCCUCAAAUCUGAAGGCUCAAGGUCCUGGGAAAAGAUGAAGUGGAGCAUGCCUCUUGUUUCCUCCUAUUAGAUGCUGAGUGUUGGAAGUUCUUCCUAGGAUUCACAAAGAAACUCCUGCUCUUCUUCCACAUACUUUUUCCUGGGAAAGAAAACUUGUUUCACUGGCAGAAAAGAUCCCCACUGUUAAAGUGAGGGUCUUAGAUACAUGAUGGCACUGUUGGCUUCCUGAAGACCUCUUCAUCCUGCAGAAGGUGCAACUCCACAGCAUCCUGAGAGGUUGGACACAAGGCUUGGAAAGAAUGAAUGGUGCCUCUCGGUGAAUUACUACAACCUGAAUCCUGUGACCCCACCUGUGAUGGCCCAAUGUUAUUGAAAUUACUGACUCCAUCCACUUAGCAAGUGGUAAAUACUCUGCAGGCAUAGAUUUGACUAAUGUGUUCUGUUCAGCGCCUAUUUCAACAGAUCUCAGCUGCAGGUUGCUUUCACCCCCGAAGGGACACAAUAGACCGUUAUCUGGCUACCACGGGGUACCUCGACAGUUCUGCCACCAUACACAAUCUUUGCAGGCAGGAUUUGAACUGCAUCUGACAUUCUCUAGGAGUACAGGUGUAACAUCACCCUGAAGACACCCUUCUUUCAGCAAAUUCAUUUGACACACUCAGGACAUUACUCACAAAGAACUCAUAGAAAAGGAUGGGGUUUGUGUU
rnacentral:lncRNA from 10 species